rnacentral:rRNA from 1 species
CCCUUAGAUGUUCUGGGCCGCACGCGCGCUACACUGAUGCAUUCAACGAGCCUAUCCUUGACCGACAGGUCCGGGUAAUCUUUGAAUCUGCAUCGUGAUAGGGAUAGACUAUUGCAAUUAUUGGUCUUCAACGAGGAAUUCCUAGUAGACGUAGUUCAUCAGACUGCAUCGAUUACGUCCCUGCCCUUUGCACACACCGCCCGUCGCUCCUACCGAUUGAAUGCUCAGGUGAGCCAUUCGGACUUUCAUCAUGCUGGUUUCCAGUUUUGAUGAAGGAAAGUCUUGCGAACCUUAUCAUUUAGAGGAAGGAGAAGUCGUAACA